rnacentral:tRNA from 1 species
GCCGAAGUGGUGGAAUUGGUAGACACGCACGCUUGAGGGGCGUGUGAGGAGACUCGUGCGGGUUCGAAUCCCGCCUUCGGCACUA